AGCUACAGAGCUACAGAAGGUAGAGGUGGAGAGAGAGAGAGACAGAGAGAUGGGGUGAGGGGAAACCUGAAGCCUUGCCAUUGCAAGCCUCACCUUGCUGGGACUGCUACCACUGCUGUCUCCUAUCUGAAGCAGGCUCCUGUGACUCCCAGGUGAGUUGCCCCCACCUCCUAAAUUGCCUUGCAUUUCUACUGAGGGAGGAGGCACUGAGUGGCCCAGGAACCCCCAGGCUAACAUGGAGGUUCUGGGGGUGGACAGACACCAAGAUAGGCUGCACUGCCUCUCUACUGGCUCUUUCUGUCCCAUCACUCAGUGACAGAGACUGUAGACUCCCUAUGCUUGUCCACUUAUACUUGGCAGGUCCCAACUGCUGCUCCCACCACUGGCUCGCUGGAAGUGCCUACCCUGCUCCAAAGCCUUUCUGUCCCUCUGCCUUGGUAAGAAGCCUGAGGCCUGAAGCUCAACGUCUGUGUGUAUACAUCAGAGUGUGUGUGUGUGUGUGUGUGUGUGUGUGUUGUGCAUCUCUGUAUGCCGGAGGACGUGUGGCAGACUGGUCUUGUGAGAACCCACUGGAUGUGAAGGCCAUUGGCCGUGCCCUCCCUGACUUCACAUGGUCACCUGAGGACCCAAUUCUGCACAGCAUCUUCACUGUUAGAGCAUGGAGGACUUGUCCUGCUGCCCACCAGCACUCCCUGUUCCUUGGUCUUUCUGAGACCCUGUUAUCAGUAAAACUGUGCUCGUAUUCUGCCUCUGCUCCUGUUUCUUUGCUUUGUGACUCACCCGUGGAUUAA
rnacentral:lncRNA from 1 species